rnacentral:rRNA from 1 species
AGGUGUGCAUGGUUGUCGUCAGCUCGUGUCGUGAGGAUUGUUAGGGUUACGUCCGCAACGAGCGCAACCCUCGUCGCUAGUUAAUUUCUCUAGCGAUACUGCCCGUAAAACGUGGAGGAAGGUGGGGAUGACGUCAAAUCAGCAUGGCCCUUAUGUCUUGGGCUACACACACGCUACAAUGGAUAGUACAAUGGGUUGCCAAAGAGCGAUCUGGAGCUAAUCCCAAAAAACCAUCCUCAGUUCAGAUUGCAGGCUGCAAUGCCUGCAUGAAGUUGGAGUUGCUAGUAACCGCAGGUCAGCACACUGCGGUGAAUACGUUCUCGGGCCUU